rnacentral:lncRNA from 1 species
AUGGGGGGCGCGCGGGGAGUGCAGGCCCGCCCCUCCCCUCCCCUGCCCUCCCCUCCCGUCCACCCUUUCCCUCCCCUGCUGUCCCUUUCUCCCUCACUUCCCGUCUCCUACCCUCCCCUCCCUCUCCCCCUCCCUCUCCCCUCCCUCUCCCCCUCCCUCUCCCCCUCUCCCUCCUCCUCCCUCCCCCGCUUCUCCCGUUCUCCCCUCCCUCCCCUCGACAAGCUCGUCGGGGGCGGGGCAGGCAGCUCCCGCGCGCUCCGGCCCCUCCUUGGCCACACAAAGGCCCCGUCUCCAUGGCAGCAGCGCGGGCCAGAGCGCAGCGCGGAGCGCGGCCCGGGCGCCAUCGAGCCUCGGCGGCGGACGUGCAGGUACCGAGCUCGGGGGACGGGGCUGCGGGGAACGUCGCGCGGGGCAGGGGGGCGUUUCGCCGUCAGCUCCGCUUCACCCUGGCCUGCCGCUCUUGGGCCUGGGCACCUGCGGCGGCUGCGGCUCCGCGGAGGGUUCCCGGGGCCUGGGCCCCGUCCGUCUGUCCAUCCGGCGAGGCCCGGGCCACUCCCGCCCCGCGCCCUUCCCCGUGGGGACUCGGGGGACGGGCCCGGCCGGCGGGUCCUCCGCGUCUCUCUGGAGCCGCAUCGGAUCCCUCCUCUGCCCCUACCCCUCACUUUUCAGCCACCGAGCUCCGUGAGCGGAGCGGAGACGGUCCCUGCGGUGCGGGCGCUCCGGGCUGGCCCCAGGCUCAGCGGCACCGGUGCGUGGCUUUGCCCGACCUCCCGGGGGCCCGACACGCACCCCUGGGGCCUGCUUGGCGCGGGGGGACCAGGGCGGAGAGCACCCGCACCUGGCGAGACCCCACGGCCUGGGCCUCCUCGCAGUUCCUGGGGUGGCACAGAAAGUCUUAGAAUCGGGGGCGCGGGCCCUGCCUAUCCCCUGCUGACCCUGACCCUCUGCAUCCUGCUCUACAUGAAGCGGCUGCCCUGCCAGUCCUCUUGGUCGGGCUGUUCGGCAGAUCUGGGGAGCCCAACUCCCCCUGUCACCUGGCGUUCUCACAGCCCGGGAGCCCUGGAGCUUCCUGCUAGGCCCUUGACUUCUCUUCCCGAAGGUCCUUGGGAAAGGAAGAAUUAG